GACGAACGCUGGCGGCGUGCCUAAUACAUGCAAGUCGAACGCACUCUCGUUUAGAUUGAAGGAGCUUGCUCCUGAUUGAUAAACAUUUGAGUGAGUGGCGGACGGGUGAGUAACACGUGGGUAACCUGCCCUAAAGUGGGGGAUAACAUUUGGAAACAGAUGCUAAUACCGCAUAAAACCUAACACCGCAUGGUGUAGGGUUGAAAGAUGGUUUCGGCUAUCACUUUAGGAUGGACCCGCGGUGCAUUAGUUAGUUGGUGAGGUAAAGGCUCACCAAGACCGUGAUGCAUAGCCGACCUGAGAGGGUAAUCGGCCACACUGGGACUGAGACACGGCCCAGACUCCUACGGGAGGCAGCAGUAGGGGAAUCUUCCACAAUGGACGAAAGUCUGAUGGAGCAACGCCGCGUGAGUGAAGAAGGUUUUCGGAUCGUAAAACUCUGUUGUUGGAGAAGAAUGUAUCUGAUAGUAACUGAUCAGGUAGUGACGGUAUCCAACCAGAAAGCCACGG
rnacentral:rRNA from 1 species